rnacentral:rRNA from 1 species
CUACGGGAGGCAGCAAGCGGGAAUAUUGCACAACGGGCGAAAGCCAGGUGCAGCAAUGCCGCGUGAGGGAUGAAGGCUUUCGGGUUGUAAACCUCUGUCAGCAGGGACGAUAAUGACGGUACCUGUUGAGGAAGCUCCGGCUAACUCCGUGCCAGCAGCCGCGGUAAGACGGAGGGAGCGAGCGUUGUCCGGAUUUACUGGGCGUAAAGCGCGCGUAGGCGGCCUGUUAAGUCGGUUGUGAAAGCGCUGGGCUUAACUCAGCAAUUGCAGUCGAUACUGGCAGGCUCGAGUCCGGGAGAGGGAAGCGGAAUUCCUGGUGUAGCGGUGGAAUGCGUAGAUAUCAGGAAGAACACCGGUGGCGAAGGCGGCUUCCUGGACCGGUACUGACGCUGAGGCGCGAAAGCUAGGGGAGCGAACGGGAUUAGAUACCCCGGU